UUCUACCGAACUACACACUCACCACCAUCAACAACAAAAAAUGGCUUCACUCAAACGUCGUCCACACCUUAACAACAACAAUUGGAGCAGCAAAUCGAGUAAGAUCGAGCCGGUGGGUGAUGUGUGUUGAAUAAUUUAGCCAUCGAUGUGUGGUGGACAAAGCAUCAGGUGGUACACAGACAUGACACUGUGGGAACGUGGGAAUAUCUCAUCACCGCAAAAAAAGAACACCCCGAGACGGAGCUGCGCACAAGUUUGUGAUUUCUUUUCUACACACAAAAAAGACCUCAACUCAUAAGCAAAGGCACCGCACACCUUUGGGGCAACCUUGCGGCCCUACCAGGUUCACCAAUUUGAUGAGCAAAACGUUGCACCAUGCACACACGAACACACACGUUGGGAGAUUGCUUUGCAGGCUGGCUGGCUGUCAUUUGCCUUUCCUUUCCAUCGUUUUUUUUUUUUUAUUUCCCCCGAAGUCAUGGCAUGCUUCGCCCCGAAAGCCACGCAGCAGCAGAAGCAGCACGCAAAAAUACCUUCCAAACUAGCCGGCGCGUAGUGAAAGCGCGUAACAUUUUUCUCAAGAAACGUACACCGAAAGCGAGUAAAUCCCGCAAAGGGUUACACUUACGCCGUGGUCCGUUUUGUCAAGGUGUACACAUCAGCUGCCAUCAGCUCAGUGAUUGUCCAAAAUUCAACCGUGCGUGUAAAGGUAAGGCGGUUGCAGUGAAGAUGGCCACCCCAUCGGUUAGUGUCGUGUCAGGCCGCACAAACUAACGAUUUCGUGAUGUUGCACUACGCUGUCAGAGUUUUAAGUACUGAGCUCCAACGAUAGAGGGUCAUUACCCACGGCGCAAAUGUCAGGAUCAGCAAUUUGGCAACAACCAAAAAAAGGGGCAGCUAUUAAAGCUGGUAGUGUGUGUGUGUGUGUGCACAUAGGAAAGUCCAGCAAAUUUGGAGGCUUUUCUCUUCAUAUUAGCGAGAGCAUCAAGCAAUUUCUCACACGCCGUCAAUUACCUUCUGUCCCCAAAGUAAACGAACACUUCCAAUGAGGUGUAAAGAAUGGAGCAUUAUGUGAAGAUUGCCUGAAGUUUUUUUUAGAUAAUCUGACCUGCAUCAUCAAAGAAAGGAGAGCAGGGAAGAAAAGAGAGAAAAUGGAAUCUCAUCCAAUUAUGAGAGACAAAACAUUAACGCUUACAAAACGGUUCAUAACUGCGCUGCGCUACCUUUUGCGUGCAGCUGGUGCGUGUUUGCGCAUAGGGCAAACGAAAAAGAAAAACACCUGCAGUAAACCAAAAGCAAGAAUUGCAACUCCAUUUCCAGCAGAAGCGCAGAAGAAUCUACACACCACGAGAUGAAAACAAUAAUUUUGCGUUUGGUCACAUGUGAGACGGGAGAUGCUGGCCUUUGUUGUGUAAAUUAUUAAUAAUUUUCACCAUGACCACUAACCCACCACCAUCAUCAUCAUCGUCCGGGAAGAGGAAAACGCGGGGGAUGAAUCGUGGAAACGACGAUGGAAGCCAAAAAGAAGGAAAGAUCAGCGAACACUUUCACUUGCGAUUAGUGUGGUGUGUAUGUGUGUCAUGGUGUGCCCGGAGUGCCCCUGCUUUACUGGACGCUGGGACGGGAGAGUUCGAGAGUCACGCCGCCCUUCCUGGCCAAGGUGGGACUUUUGAAUGGAACGCCAAGACGGAGAGACGACACACGAUCGUUUGCUUGCGAACCGGACAGUCGCAGAACAAUAGCAACAUUAGUGUACUUUCCUAUUUCUUUGUCGUAUCGCGGCGGCAUUAGAUGUAGCUGCUCGUAACAUAAACCUCGGUACGGUGGUUGUGUGUGGCUGGCAGUUUUCCUUUAACGAUCGGUAAUAAAACAGCAAAUAUUCUAUUUCACCCACCGCACCCAAUGGACCGCAUAUCCGCACACACACAUGAUCG